UUUAUGGAGAGUUUGAUCCUGGCUCAGGAUGAACGCUGGCGGCGUGCCUAAUACAUGCAAGUCGAGCGAACAGAUAAGGAGCUUGCUCCUUUGACGUUAGCGGCGGACGGGUGAGUAACACGUGGGUAACCUACCUAUAAGACUGGAAUAACUCCGGGAAACCGGGGCUAAUGCCGGAUAACAUGUUGAACCGCAUGGUUCUACAGUGAAAGACGGUCUUGCUGUCACUUAUAGAUGGACCCGCGCCGUAUUAGCUAGUUGGUGGGGUAACGGCCUACCAAGGCGACGAUACGUAGCCGACCUGAGAGGGUGAUCGGCCACACUGGAACUGAGACACGGUCCAGACUCCUACGGGAGGCAGCAGUAGGGAAUCUUCCGCAAUGGGCGAAAGCCUGACGGAGCAACGCCGCGUGAGUGAUGAAGGUCUUCGGAUCGUAAAGCUCUGUUGUUAGGGAAGAACAAAUGUGUAAGUAACUGUGCACAUCUUGACGGUACCUAACCAGAAAGCCACGGCUAACUACGUGCCAGCAGCCGCGGUAAUACGUAGGUGGCAAGCGUUAUCCGGAAUUAUUGGGCGUAAAGCGCGCGUAGGCGGUUUUUUAAGUCUGAUGUGAAAGCCCACGGCUCAACCGUGGAGGGUCAUUGGAAACUGGAAAACUUGAGUGCAGAAGAGGAAAGUGGAAUUCCAUGUGUAGCGGUGAAAUGCGCAGAGAUAUGGAGGAACACCAGUGGCGAAGGCGGCUUUCUGGUCUGCAACUGACGCUGAUGUGCGAAAGCGUGGGGAUCAAACAGGAUUAGAUACCCUGGUAGUCCACGCCGUAAACGAUGAGUGCUAAGUGUUAGGGGGUUUCCGCCCCUUAGUGCUGCAGCUAACGCAUUAAGCACUCCGCCUGGGGAGUACGGUCGCAAGACUGAAACUCAAAGGAAUUGACGGGGACCCGCACAAGCGGUGGAGCAUGUGGUUUAAUUCGAAGCAACGCGAAGAACCUUACCAAAUCUUGACAUCCUUUGACCGCUCUAGAGAUAGAGUUUUCCUCUUCGGAGGACAAAGUGACAGGUGGUGCAUGGUUGUCGUCAGCUCGUGUCGUGAGAUGUUGGGUUAAGUCCCGCAACGAGCGCAACCCUUGAACUUAGUUGCCAUCAUUCAGUUGGGCACUCUAAGUUGACUGCCGGUGACAAACCGGAGGAAGGUGGGGAUGACGUCAAAUCAUCAUGCCCCUUAUGAUUUGGGCUACACACGUGCUACAAUGG
rnacentral:rRNA from 1 species